rnacentral:rRNA from 1 species
GACGAACGCUGGCGGCGCGCUUAACACAUGCAAGUCGAGCGAGAACCAGGCCUUCGGGCCUGGGGAAAGCGGCGAACGGGUGAGUAACACGUGGGUAAUCUGCCCUCGGCACCGGAAUAGCCCGGGGAAACCCGGAUUAAUGCCGGAUAGCCUCUCGAGCCCUCGGGCUCGUGAGAAAAGGUAGCUUCGGCCUCUGGCCGAGGAGGAGCCCGCGGGGGAUUAGCUUGUUGGUGGGGUAACGGCUCACCAAGGCGACGACGGGGAGCUGGUCUGAGGGGACGAUCAGCCACACUGGAACUGCGACACGGGCCAGACUCCUACGGGAGGGAGCAGUAAGGAAUAUUGCGCAAUGGGCGACAGCCUGACGCAGCGACGCCGCGUGGGGGAUGAAGGUCUUCGGAUUGUAAACCCCUUUUGGGAGGGAAGAUGGGACGGGCAACCGUCCGGGCGGUACCUCCAGAAAAAGCCACGGCUAACUUCGUGCCAGCAGCCGCCGUAAAAC